rnacentral:rRNA from 1 species
UACGUAGGGGGCUAGCGUUGUCCGGAAUCAUUGGGCGUAAAGCGCGCGUAGGCGGCCCGGUAAGUCCGCUGUGAAAGUCAAAGGCUCAACCUUUGAAUGUCAGCGGAUACUGCCAGGCUAGAGUCCGGAAGAGGCGAGUGGAACUCCUGGUGUAGCGGUGAAAUGCGCAGAUAUCAGGAGGAACACCAAUGGCGAAGGCAGCUCGCUGGGACGGUACUGACGCUGAGACGCGAAAGCGUGGGGAGCAAACAGG